rnacentral:lncRNA from 1 species
AAAACCGGCUGAAGCCGGUGCCUAGGCCGAAGCCAGAAACAAGGGCGUACAAUGCCGAACCACGAUCAACCAGAUCAAAACACAUGACAAGAGAGUCGAUGUGUUGCCUGGACCCAAGGUCCACAGAGUCCAACUGACUAACAAGGUCACUGAUACGAAGUACGAGGACCGACCAACCAGGUCAACAGAUACGGAAUGCAACAACCAACCAACUAGGUCAACAGAUACGGAAUG